AACGAACGCUGGCGGCAUGCCUAACACAUGCAAGUCGAACGAGACCUUCGGGUCUAGUGGCGCACGGGUGCGUAACGCGUGGGAACCUGCCCUUAGGUUCGGAAUAACUCCCCGAAAGGGGUGCUAAUACCGGAUAAUGUCUUCGGACCAAAGAUUUAUCGCCUUUGGAUGGGCCCGCGUUGGAUUAGCUAGUUGGUAGGGUAAAAGCCUACCAAGGCGACGAUCCAUAGCUGGUCUGAGAGGAUGACCAGCCACACUGGGACUGAGACACGGCCCAGACUCCUACGGGAGGCAGCGGUAGGGAAGAUUGGAGGAUGGGCGAAAGCCUGAUCCAGCAAUGCCGCGUGAGUGAGGAAGGCCUUAGGGUUGUAAAGCUCUUUUACCCGGGAUGAUAAUGACAGUACCGGGAGAAUAAGCCCCGGCUAACUCCGUG
rnacentral:rRNA from 1 species